rnacentral:rRNA from 1 species
AUGUUGAUCACUAAGAGAUGCCAGCACAGUCACUAUCAUGCCGAUAAUGAUUUAUAUACUCUUACCUUGGAGAACCGUCUUUGCACAACAGAGUUAAGCCUGCAGCAAGUAUACCGUGAAUCUGUCCAAGCAACUUUCUUGCGCGUCGGUGGCUUUGUUAAAGGCAGUACAACCCCUUUCAUUCAUGGAGGCCGUGUUGCUUGCUCCUCACCACCUCAUGGAGGUCAAGGCACUGCCCCGCCCACCCAAGUUGUGUUACUUGAUUCUCGUUAUUGUGAUGGUGGGAAGAUGCCAAUAGGCGAAGAAGAUGGUUACCUUGAUCUGUCGAGGCAUGUUGUUUCUGUUGAAUUACGGACAAUGAGUGAAGAUUCUGAAGAAUUGGAAGAAACCCUGAAAGUUGUCAUAGAAGCCUACUCAGACUCUCCUCCUAAAGUUUCUGCGAAAGCUGAUGUCAUGGUCAAGCCUCGGUAUUGCGGCAUAAGUGAACAUGAAUGUGUCCUUCACGGCUCUACGGUGAAGAUUACCAUUGCUUGGUCACCUAUUCUUCGAACCAACAAGGUUAUUCUGUGA